rnacentral:lncRNA from 1 species
AGGGCUGGGGAGGUCUAAGCGGCUGAGAACUAUAGAGAAUGUGCAGCUAAUGCACAGCUAAGAACAACUGGGAGCCGUAAUGGUAUCAGAGAAGCACCUGAGGAUAAAGAUAUCUAAUCCAGUCCACAGCUCUGCAUUUCUUCAGGCUGCCCAAAUCUCAAAAAAAAACCUCUUCAGCCUGAACUGGUGACAAGACACAUAGAAAGGCUAUAGAGCAAGUCAUGCUUUCCUAGGACUUCAGUUGAGAAUAUGAAAUAUAUGUGUGGAGACAGGAAAAGGCAUUCUAAAGAGAAAACCACUGAUAAAUAUUUGAGCUGGGAAUGAGGGUUUUGUUUUUGACAAGAAGAGUAGCUGAGGUUGGGAUCAUACUGUGGAGAGGUGUAAAAGCCAGGGUGAGGUGUUUGAGGUUUUCUUUAGCAAUUAUUGGAAACUUUACACACAGGAAGAUCAUAAAACUUAACUAUUAUACAUGAUAAACACAAAAGAAUGGUGUCAUUUACUUUUUUUUUUUUUUUUAACGAUAGCAUUGACUAAGACCAUGUUUACUUACUUUAAAUGGACUUCAGUUUGGGAAUGUAUCGCUUCUCCCAACACAUUUCUGGUUUCAUCCACCACAGCAGCUGCUGUAUCAUCACAACUGGUUUCAAUUCCCAGGACCACUUUAUGAAGAUAUUGUGUUCCGGGAUGAAAAUUAAAACUUUGAGAAAACGCAUAAACUUUUGUUUUUGAUGGUUUAGAAAAAACUCCUGCUGCCUUAUUCAAUAUUAACAUACUUCCUACUCUAAUAGGCAAUUCCUGAAAAAGAAUUACAGAAACAAACAUUAUUUGAAACAUAUUAGUGAUUAACCCAUUCACUUAAACAAAAUAUUGAAUACUGUUUGAUUUUUAAAAAAAAUUUGUGGUACUAGGGAAUCUCAGGGCUUUGCACCUGUUAGGUAAGUGCUCUAACACUGGCCCAGCCCCUGGUUUAUUUAUUUUUUAAUAUAUAGUUUUAGAGAACUAUAAUAAAGUUUAUAAAAGUCAUCAAAAUUUUAUAUAGAUCCUAGCUACCUGUGAAUAUAAAUAACAUUAUGUAUGAGGACAAUGCUUUCCAAAGGGCAAAAGACAGAUAUAUAAUUUGUUAGUAUUAAAGGCUGAGCAUUCCUAAUCCAUAAAUCUGAAACACUCCAAAAUCUGAAACGUUUUGAGUACUGCUAUGAUGCCACCUGCGACAUGUCAGCUAAAGCACAGGCAUGUUAAAAACAGUGCCCUAUAUAAAAUUACCUUCUGACUGGGCCGGGGAUUUAGCUCAGUGCUUCCGCUGCCUGCCUCAAAAGCGCUAAGACCCGAGUUCAAUCCCCGGUACCCAAAAAAAAAAAAAAAAAUUACCUUCUGACUAUAUGUAUGAGGUGUAUAAGAAACAUAAAUAAAAAUCUAAACAAAAAUCAUGUUUAGACUUGAGUACCAUCCACAAGCUAUCUCAUGUAUAUGCCAAUAUUCCAACCACCCCUCAAACACUCAUAUUUAAAAAAAAAUCUGAAAUCUGAAACACUUCUGGUUCCAAGCAUUUCGGUUAAGGGAGGCUCAACCUGUACUGUUACUUUUAUGCUGUUUUUGCGAACUAUUUAUUAUUCUUUAUAAAACAGGUACUCUUACAGAACAACAGUUGCAUGGAUAGUUCUCCGAAAGUGCUAUUUAUUUUUUCAUUAUUAAGACAAAAUGUGAUUUAAGAAACUCAACAAAGGGAAAUAGAACAGGUAAAAAGAAAUGAAUCUCAUUUCCUGGAAACAUUUUUUCAAAAUAAAAUUUAAUAAUUUGAAUAAAAAAGUUUAUAUAAAACACACAUAAGCAAUCAAAGAUUUAGUCUUAGUUUAGAAACAACAGUCUUCUCAUAUAGCUAGUCCCAAAUAAACACAUCUCGAUUAAAACCACCUCCAACCCAACAUUAUUCCUAAAUUACAACCUUUGGAACUAAAUCUCCCUUUUGCCACAGGUUUAUCAUGAUAGCAAUUCUCCCCCCCCCCAAAAAAAACCCCCUAGCUGUGCAUCACUAAACCACCUUAAUAUUUCACUGUGCAGUAGCUUCUUUCUCUACCACGUGAGUGGUCAAAAUUAGGGGGCUGGUUCAAAACAGCAAAUAAUAUCGGAACGGAGCCGGAGGACUGGAGCAGCUGCGAGGAGUGCAGCCCACAGUUACUCCGCAGGAUUUAGGUUUGCAGUAAAUCGAUCUGGGCAGGGCAGACUGUUAGCAGCACUUCCCUUUCAGGCCAAGAAAGCUCCCGGGUGAACCAGGCGACUUGGGCAGCGCUGGUCUUUCUGUUUGCUCUAAGAAGGCUAAGAAGACGAGGAGUGGACUGGUGAAAGGUGAGCAUUACACCCACUUUCCUCGUGGACGACAGCAGCUAGUAGCACUCGCCUACUUUCCCCGCUAGCAAUGACGUCCGACCGCCUACUCUCCCGCGCAGGAAAAGCCCGCACGCAGAGCGCCGGAAGUGACGCCAUCCACAGGGCCAGAGACUCUUAGCCGGAGUUGGUUACCCUAGCAACACACAGCUUUGUCUAACGCGCCCGGUGUUGGCUCACUCAAGUCUAGGUUCUAUAAGGUCACACUGCUAGUGACCGAUCCAGAGGUGCUGAAUUCGACUUUGUCUGAAUGCACAGCGUUAAGAUCCACAGUGUGCUGCAUUUUAGUGUUUUGUUUUGUUUUUUUGUCUUUGGAGAUAACUGUACUUAAUAAUGUAUAGUACCUUUAUCAGAAAAAGAAACUAGGAAUGCCCUAACCUGUAAAGGAAUGCUAGAGAAUGAAAGUGUUUCUGGGCAUUCAAUCUGAACAAAUCUCCCGCUUCACUGAGACUAAAAGGUCUGUGUGUGCCUCCUCUAUUAAUCUAAAGAUUAAAUAAUAAAAGAGGCAAGAGUAAAUAUUUUUCCAUAUUGCAUUACAUAGUCCCUGCUUACUGUGUAUGCAACUUUCAGUAUAGUGUAUACUUACAUUCUUGCACUUUUUUUGGUAAGUCUUCUAUUGGUUUGUGAAGUUGUGACCAUUUGUUUAAGUAGAUUUAUCCCAAGAAUCUUUAUUCUUCCCCGCUAGGCUUAAUUUGUUAGUAAGCAAGAACCUUAUAAUGCAAAGUUGGUUGGGGCUGGGAGAUCUGUGCCUUGCACCAUGCGUGGUUCUCAGUAUAAAACAUGACCAAACCAUGUUGAAAAGUCACACAGUACAAGCUACAGUGGAUACAAGUAAGUGAAUGCCCAAUUAACAGAACACUGUUGAAAAAUUUUUAAUUGGAGAUUGUUUUUAAAAAAUUUCAUUUAUGUGUAACAGUAAAGUGGCAAUUAUUAUGUGCCAGACAUUGAGGUAAGGUUAUUUAAUCCUCACAACAAACCCCUGAGGUACUUAAUGUCCUCAUUGUACAGGCAGCUAGGCCCCAGGGUUUGGAUGAUUUGCA